rnacentral:rRNA from 1 species
CAGUAGCCGCGGUAAUACGUAGGGUGCGAGCGUUAAUCGGAAUUACUGGGCGUAAAGCGUGCGCAGGCGGUUGUGUAAGACAGGUGUGAAAUCCCCGGGCUUAACCUGGGAACUGCGCUUGUGACUGCACAGCUAGAGUAUGGCAGAGGGGGGUAGAAUUCCACGUGUAGCAGUGAAAUGCGCAGAGAUGUGGAGGAAUACCGAUGGCGAAGGCAGCCCCCUGGGCCAAUACUGACGCUCAUGCACGAAGGCGUGGGGAGCAAACAGGAUUAGAUACCCCCGUAGUCCCUGUCUCUUAUAC